rnacentral:rRNA from 1 species
UACAGAGGUCUCAAGCGUUGUUCGGAUUCAUUGGGCGUAAAGGGCGCGUAGGCGGCCUUGCAAGUCGGUUGGUGAAAGCCCGGGGCUCAACCCCGGAGGUGCGGCCGAGACUGCAGGGCUGGAGGCCGGAAGAGGAGGGUGGAAUACCCAGUGUAGAGGUGAAAUUCGUAGAUAUUGGGUGGAACACCGGUGGCGAAAGCGGCUCUCUGGUCCGGACCUGACGCUGAGGCGCGAAAGCGUGGGGAGCAAACAGG